rnacentral:rRNA from 1 species
AUGGCUGCUCCCUCGCCAGCUCUCCUCAUCUACAUCCUGGUGGUCCUCGUCGCCACCGCCGCCACAGCCCAAUGCCGCCCUCAGAAGCACCACGGCCAGGCCUCCAAGACCGCCUUUGCCCCGCUGGCCACCGUCCACGCCAUCUGCAGCAACACCCCCCACCCGGCGUCCUGCCUUGCGUCGGCCGCCGUGCACCUCGACGCCGCCACGGCCCAUCUCUUGGCGUCGUCCAUCACCGUCCCCCUCCUCCCGGCGAAUAUCCUGUCGGUCGCGCUCGCCUCCCUCCGCGGCGCUCUCUCGGCCGUCUCCUCCCUCUCCCCGUUCCUCUCAUCUACGCUCUCGGCCCCGUCGUCCUCGACGACGCCACUCCGGCGCGGCGCCGCGCAGGACUGCCUGGAGCUCCACGACGCCACGCUGAGCUCCCUCUCGCGCUCCGCGUCGCUGCUCGCGUCCCCCGGCGAGGGUCUCCCCUCGGUGCGCGCCCACCUCUCUGCCGCGCUCACCAACAAGGCCACCUGCCUCGACGGCCUCGCGGGCUCCUCCGGCCCGCGGAUGGACGGCCUCCUCGCCUCCCUCGACGACGCCUACGAGCACGUCUCCAACUCCCUCUCCCUCGUCGCCCGCAGCGGCGGUGGAGGGUCCGCGGCAAGCUUCCAAGCCACGGUGGCCAAGAUCAUCCAUCACAACCGGCGCCUGCUCCAAGACGACGAAGACAGCGACGGGGACGACGACGACAACAGCCGCAAUGGCAACGGCGACGACGACGACAACAACAGCCGCGACGGCAACGGCGAUGCGAACGACAGCGGCGAGACGGUGAUCACGGUGGCCAAGGACGGGUCGGGGAACUUCCGGACGGUGGGGGAGGCCGUCGCCGCGGCGCCGAACAACAGCGACGCGAGGACGGUGAUCCAUGUGAAGGCCGGGACGUACGUGGAGAACGUGGAGGUGCCCCCCUACAAGACGAACAUCGCGCUGGUCGGCGAGGGCCGCGACGUGACGGUCAUCACCGGCAGCCGCAGCGCCGCCGACGGCUGGACCACCUUCCGCACCGCCACCGUCGGGGUGUCCGGCGAGGGGUUCCUGGCGCGGGACAUCGCGUUCCGCAACACGGCGGGCGCGGCGAGGGGGCAGGCGGUGGCGCUGCGGGUGAACGCGGACAUGGCGGCGGCGUACCGCUGCGCCGUCGACGGCCACCAGGACGCGCUCUACGCGCACUCCUUCCGCCAGUUCUACCGCGAGUGCGCCCUCUCCGGCACGGUGGACCUCGCCUUCGGCAACGCGGCCGCGGUGCUCCAGGCCUGCGCGCUCGUCGCCGGCGCGCCGGUCCCGGGCCAGUCCAACGUGCUCACGGCGCAGUCCAGGGGGGACCCGAACCAGGACACGGGCUUCGCCGUGCACAACUGCACCGUGGAGGCCUCGCCGGAGCUGCUGGCCAGCGGCGUCGGCACCCGCACCUUCCUCGGCCGGCCGUGGGGCGCGUACGCGCGGGCCGUGGUCAUCGAGUCCUACCUGGGCCCUCUCGUGGACCGCGACGGGUGGACGGGCUGGCCCGGCGCGGAGCCGGGCCGCGCCGACACGGUGUACUUCGGGGAGUACGGGAACGAGGGGCCGGGCGCCGGCACGGACGGGCGCGUGGGCUGGGCCGGGUUCCACGAGAUGGACUACGACGAGGCCGCCCAGUUCGCCGUCGACAAGUUCAUCUACGGCGACGACUGGCUCGCCACCACCUCCUUCCCCUACGACCAAGGCAUCUGA